rnacentral:misc_RNA from 1 species
GUGAAUCAUCGAAUCUUUGAACGCAAAUUGCACUCCCUGGUAUUCCGGGGAGUAUGCCUGUUUGAGGGUCGUUAGAACAAAAAUCGACAUCGUUGCUGUUUCGCGGUGGCGUUCGUCGGAAAUUGGGUCAUCUUAAAUCCUUUUGAUUUAAGCGACUUAAAAUUUUCUUUUAGUUCCAUGAACGUUUCUAAGAUCUAUUUCUUUACACGUUUAAGGUAUCGAUUUUUACUAGACGUGACCAUCAUAUCGGAUCGCGUCCAUAAUCUUUCAUUAACUGAUCUCAGACAGGUAAGAGUACCC